GGGUUGUGAGGUUAAGCGACUAAGCGUACACGGUGGAUGCCCUGGCAGUCAGAGGCGAUGAAGGACGUGCUAAUCUGCGAUAAGCGUCGGUAAGGUGAUAUGAACCGUUAUAACCGGCGAUUUCCGAAUGGGGAAACCCAGUGUGAUUCGUCACACUAUCAUUAACUGAAUCCAUAGGUUAAUGAGGCGAACCGGGGGAACUGAAACAUCUAAGUACCCCGAGGAAAAGAAAUCAACCGAGAUUCCCCCAGUAGCGGCGAGCGAACGGGGAGCAGCCCAGAGCCUGAAUCAGUGUGUGUGUUAGUGGAAGCGUCUGGAAAGGCGUGCGAUACAGGGUGACAGCCCCGUACACAAAAAUGCACAUACUGUGAGCUCGAUGAGUAGGGCGGGACACGUGGUAUCCUGUCUGAAUAUGGGGGGACCAUCCUCCAAGGCUAAAUACUCCUGACUGACCGAUAGUGAACCAGUACCGUGAGGGAAAGGCGAAAAGAACCCCGGCGAGGGGAGUGAAAAAGAACCUGAAACCGUGUACGUACAAGCAGUGGGAGCACGCUUAGGCGUGUGACUGCGUACCUUUUGUAUAAUGGGUCAGCGACUUAUAUUCUGUAGCAAGGUUAACCGAAUAGGGGAGCCGAAGGGAAACCGAGUCUUAACUGGGCGUUAAGUUGCAGGGUAUAGACCCGAAACCCGGUGAUCUAGCCAUGGGCAGGUUGAAGGUUGGGUAACACUAACUGGAGGACCGAACCGACUAAUGUUGAAAAAUUAGCGGAUGACUUGUGGCUGGGGGUGAAAGGCCAAUCAAACCGGGAGAUAGCUGGUUCUCCCCGAAAGCUAUUUAGGUAGCGCCUCGUGAAUUCAUCUCCGGGGGUAGAGCACUGUUUCGGCAAGGGGGUCAUCCCGACUUACCAACCCGAUGCAAACUGCGAAUACCGGAGAAUGUUAUCACGGGAGACACACGGCGGGUGCUAACGUCCGUCGUGAAGAGGGAAACAACCCAGACCGCCAGCUAAGGUCCCAAAGUCAUGGUUAAGUGGGAAACGAUGUGGGAAGGCCCAGACAGCCAGGAUGUUGGCUUAGAAGCAGCCAUCAUUUAAAGAAAGCGUAAUAGCUCACUGGUCGAGUCGGCCUGCGCGGAAGAUGUAACGGGGCUAAACCAUGCACCGAAGCUGCGGCAGCGACGCUUAUGCGUUGUUGGGUAGGGGAGCGUUCUGUAAGCCUGCGAAGGUGUGCUGUGAGGCAUGCUGGAGGUAUCAGAAGUGCGAAUGCUGACAUAAGUAACGAUAAAGCGGGUGAAAAGCCCGCUCGCCGGAAGACCAAGGGUUCCUGUCCAACGUUAAUCGGGGCAGGGUGAGUCGACCCCUAAGGCGAGGCCGAAAGGCGUAGUCGAUGGGAAACAGGUUAAUAUUCCUGUACUUGGUGUUACUGCGAAGGGGGGACGGAGAAGGCUAUGUUGGCCGGGCGACGGUUGUCCCGGUUUAAGCGUGUAGGCUGGUUUUCCAGGCAAAUCCGGAAAACUAAGGCUGAGGCGUGAUGACGAGGCACUACGGUGCUGAAGCAACAAAUGCCCUGCUUCCAGGAAAAGCCUCUAAGCAUCAGGUAACAUCAAAUCGUACCCCAAACCGACACAGGUGGUCAGGUAGAGAAUACCAAGGCGCUUGAGAGAACUCGGGUGAAGGAACUAGGCAAAAUGGUGCCGUAACUUCGGGAGAAGGCACGCUGAUAUGUAGGUGAAGCGACUUGCUCGUGGAGCUGAAAUCAGUCGAAGAUACCAGCUGGCUGCAACUGUUUAUUAAAAACACAGCACUGUGCAAACACGAAAGUGGACGUAUACGGUGUGACGCCUGCCCGGUGCCGGAAGGUUAAUUGAUGGGGUCAGCGCAAGCGAAGCUCUUGAUCGAAGCCCCGGUAAACGGCGGCCGUAACUAUAACGGUCCUAAGGUAGCGAAAUUCCUUGUCGGGUAAGUUCCGACCUGCACGAAUGGCGUAAUGAUGGCCAGGCUGUCUCCACCCGAGACUCAGUGAAAUUGAACUCGCUGUGAAGAUGCAGUGUACCCGCGGCAAGACGGAAAGACCCCGUGAACCUUUACUAUAGCUUGACACUGAACAUUGAGCCUUGAUGUGUAGGAUAGGUGGGAGGCUUUGAAGUGUGGACGCCAGUCUGCAUGGAGCCGACCUUGAAAUACCACCCUUUAAUGUUUGAUGUUCUAACGUUGACCCGUAAUCCGGGUUGCGGACAGUGUCUGGUGGGUAGUUUGACUGGGGCGGUCUCCUCCUAAAGAGUAACGGAGGAGCACGAAGGUUGGCUAAUCCUGGUCGGACAUCAGGAGGUUAGUGCAAUGGCAUAAGCCAGCUUGACUGCGAGCGUGACGGCGCGAGCAGGUGCGAAAGCAGGUCAUAGUGAUCCGGUGGUUCUGAAUGGAAGGGCCAUCGCUCAACGGAUAAAAGGUACUCCGGGGAUAACAGGCUGAUACCGCCCAAGAGUUCAUAUCGACGGCGGUGUUUGGCACCUCGAUGUCGGCUCAUCACAUCCUGGGGCUGAAGUAGGUCCCAAGGGUAUGGCUGUUCGCCAUUUAAAGUGGUACGCGAGCUGGGUUUAGAACGUCGUGAGACAGUUCGGUCCCUAUCUGCCGUGGGCGCUGGAGAACUGAGGGGGGCUGCUCCUAGUACGAGAGGACCGGAGUGGACGCAUCACUGGUGUUCGGGUUGUCAUGCCAAUGGCACUGCCCGGUAGCUAAAUGCGGAAGAGAUAAGUGCUGAAAGCAUCUAAGCACGAAACUUGCCCCGAGAUGAGUUCUCCCUGACUCCUUGAGAGUCCUGAAGGAACGUUGAAGACGACGACGUUGAUAGGCCGGGUGUGUAAGCGCAGCGAUGCGUUGAGCUAACCGGUACUAAUGAACCGUGAGGCUUAACCUUACAACGCCGAAGGUGUUU
rnacentral:rRNA from 1 species